CGGAGGUGCAAGCGUUAUCCGGAUUACUGGUUAAGGGUGCGUAGGCGGUAGGUAAGUCAGUGGUGAAUCUUCGAGCUUAACUCGGAAUUGCCGUUGAUACUAUUAUCUUGAAUAUCGUUGAGGUUUGCGGAAUAUGUCAUGUAGCGGUGAAAUGCUUAGAGAUGACAUAGAACACCUAUUGCGAAGGCAGCAGGCUAAACGAACAUUGACGCUGAGGCACGAAAGCGUGGGAUCAAACAGGAUU
rnacentral:rRNA from 1 species